rnacentral:lncRNA from 1 species
GAGACUGGUUUGUCUGAUGCUGCUGCCGGAGCUGAGGUCUUGCCUGGAGAUCCGAACGAGACACCACGUCAACCGGCGCGGGGAGUCCCGUGAAGACAUGAGGGCGCCAGGAGCGCAGAUGAGGACAUUGAGGAUCAGAGAUGUUGAAAAACUUGCCCAAGGAUGCACAAGUGGAAUGGUGACUGUUGUCUCUUGGGCACAGGUAGCUGCCAACAGGUGAGCCUCUCAGCGGAUCCCUGAUAGAGGUAGGAUGGCAAAUAGCUUCUUUAAUAUGACAGCCUCAGUGUAGUGGCUGGCAAGGAGCUGCGAUUGGGAGGAACUGGAAGUGACACCCAAGCUCAUUGAGCAAGCAUGCUGUGAGUGCCAUGAGUAAGUAGUCCCAGCUGAUGAGCUUAUCAGGGGGUUGCCAGCGGGGGUACUGCCCAGGGUGGAGAUGGAAUGGGAGACAUAGCCAUACCUCAGAAGGAUAUGCAGCUCCUACGAGGACCUAAGUGGAGCUGGGUCAGCAUGGCCCCAGUAAGCACACAGCAGGCAGAUCAGCCACAGACUUCAGCAUCAAGGCCUUCCAGGGUGGGAACUAGAUGAACUGGAGGACAGGCCAGGAACCUGCACAUAUGAAUCAUGUGGGCCAAGGACCUUCCUCCCCUUUCCUACCACCAUGAAGCAGACCCUUCCCCCAGGAGUCAUCUUGGAGAAAAAUGGGAAAGUGGAGCAGUGGUAGGGGGCAGGGGGUGCUGCAAUACCAAAAUAUCCAGAAGGCAUUUAAAAUUAUUGGACUAGAUGACAUUUAAUUCUCCUUCUUUACUCAGUAAAGUGAAGAGCUCAGGAGAAAGAUUGGAUCAAUUAUAGAAAAUAAUGAAGGUACAUUUUCUUUGCAUAACUAAAUGUAGGGUAAGUACAUUUUGAAUUUGCUAAAAUUGUCUUUGCUCUGCCUCUGCACACGUGUGCACACGUGCACACACACAAAUGGCACUUCUGGGAGUUUUUCCUUGCUACCACCUCCUCUCAAUAAUCAAUGCUCACGAAAGCAUUUGUGAGAAAUGUGGAGUUUACUGUGGAGAUUCAAAGGGAAGAUGAUGGAGGUUUCACUGUAACCCCCACAACAGAUUCAUAUUCCACUUUG